rnacentral:SRP_RNA from 1 species
AUUGGGACUAGACCGGGGAGUUAGGCGUUCCCUGUAAGCGCAAACCGCCUUCAUGGCGCGGUCGAAGCUUGAGGGCGAUGCUGACUGGUAGUUGCGGCCCUUACUUUCGACGUAGAAGCUCUGCCCUAUAGGAUUGUUGUUAUGGUGAACCGAGUCAGGACAGGGAUGUAGCAGCUCUAAGCUGUUUCAUCAGUGCUUGUAGGAUUCACAGAGUGGAGGAGAAGGUGUGGUUAACCGUUUCUGUUGGACAGUAUCCACCAAUGGCGUGUCCCUUU